rnacentral:rRNA from 1 species
UACGUAGGGGGCGAGCGUUGUCCGAAGUUACUGGGCGUAAAGCGCGCGUAGGCGGCUUCUUAAGUCUGAGGUGAAAGGUUCAACGCUUAACGUGAACAGUGCCUUGGAUACUGGGGGAGCUUGAGUAUGGGAGAGGGCAGUGGAAUGGCUGGUGUAGCGGUGAAAUGCGUAGAUAUCAGUCGGAACACCCAUGGCGAAGGCAGCACUCUGGGACGUGACUGACGCUGAGACGCGAAAGCGUGGGGAGCAAACAGG